rnacentral:rRNA from 1 species
GAUGAACGCUGGCGGCGUGCCUAAUACAUGCAAGUAGAACGCUGAAGCUUGGUGCUUGCACCGAGCGGAUGAGUUGCGAACGGGUGAGUAACGCGUAGGUAACCUGCCUGGUAGCGGGGGAUAACUAUUGGAAACGAUAGCUAAUACCGCAUAACAGUCGACAUUGCAUGAUGUUGAUUUGAAAGGGGCAAUUGCUCCACUACCAGAUGGACCUGCGUUGUAUUAGCUAGUUGGUGAGGUAACGGCUCACCAAGGCGACGAUACAUAGCCGACCUGAGAGGGUGAUCGGCCACACUGGGACUGAGACACGGCCCAGACUCCUACGGGAGGCAGCAGUAGGGAAUCUUCGGCAAUGGGGGCAACCCUGACCGAGCAACGCCGCGUGAGUGAAGAAGGUUUUCGGAUCGUAAAGCUCUGUUGUAAGAGAAGAACGAG